rnacentral:rRNA from 1 species
UACGUAGGGUGCGAGCGUUGUCCGGAAUUAUUGGGCGUAAAGGGCUCGUAGGCGGUUUGUCGCGUCUGCCGUGAAAGCCCAGGGCUUAACCCUGGGUCUGCGGUGGGUACGGGCAGACUAGAGUGUGGUAGGGGAGACUGGAAUUCCUGGUGUAGCGGUGAAAUGCGCAGAUAUCAGGAGGAACACCGAUGGCGAAGGCAGGUCUCUGGGCCACUACUGACGCUGAGAAGCGAAAGCAUGGGGAGCGAACAGG